rnacentral:rRNA from 1 species
AUUGAACGCUGGCGGCAUGCCUAACACAUGCAAGUCGAACGAGCGGCGGACGGGUGAGUAAUGUAUGGGCAUCUGCCUAAUGGAGGGGGAUAACUACUGGAAACGGUGGCUAAUACCGCCUACCAUCAGCGGCGCCCAGAUGGGAUUAGCUAGUUGGUGGGGUAACGGCUCACCAAGGCGACGAUCCCUAGCUGGUCUGAGAGGAUGAUCAGCCACACUGGGACUGAGACACGGUCCAGACUCCUACGGGAGGCAGCAGUGGGGAAUAUUGGACAAUGGGCGAAAGCCUGAUGCAGCCAUGCCGCGUGUAUGAAGAAGGCCUUCGGGUUGUAAAGUACUUUCAGUAGGGAGGCGUUACCGACAGAAUAAGCACCGGCUAACUCCGUGCCAGCCGCCGCGGUAAUAC